CACAACCAACUAAUAGACUAACACAUAACACACAGCUGUCUGUGUGGGUCGCUACAAUAUUGAAUCAUUUCUGCCCACCGAAUUCAUAUUCGUUAUACACUAUAAAAAAUAUAAGACCGGCAUAUUAAAUAUUGCAAAAGAAAAUCUAAUGAUUUUUACUAAAAAUAAUAGGUUUCUGCUUUUGAACACAUUUUAGAUUAUAAUCCUUAAUUUAUGUGUUGAAAAAGAAUCCAAGAUCUAGUUAUGAACGUCAGUUGUGCUUGGAACAUUUCAACAGACGUCGUCUUGAUCUUUCUCAUCUGGAAAGGCCAUGUGGCAGGUGUAUCACUUCUAUCAUCAAGAAAUGGACAGUGACAGAUGGCUAACUACACCUAGCUAUCUAACUACACCUGUCCUGGCAGAAACCUUCUUGUUGUUCAGGUGUUCAGACGUUCCUGAGUACUGGACAGACCAUAUUUUCCAGAAUACAUUGACAAGGAAAACGCCAAGGAGUGUGGAGAUGCAUCACAGAUCUACCUGUCUGUUUCUCUCUUCCUCACCUGUCUCACUGCCUCCUUCACCUGUCUCAAGACCUCCACGCUGGUUUUCCGAUGACAGACAGACAGCUACCUAGCCUAAACCCCGCCUCCCCUCUGAAUCGGUAUCUCCCUGGAAUGUUCCAGAAUGCCUGAAUUUAGCAUGCCUGCUGCUGUUUGCGUUGUCUUUAUCAAUCAAUAUGACUAUAUGAUUUAAGUUAUGAUAUUGAUCAUUUUGGCUGAUGGACUGAGAGGAAUAAGCUGUUGACUGACUCCAUGCUUGAUGACUUUACAAUCACAGAGAGAUGUUGACUGACUCCAUGUUUGAUGACUUUACAAUCACAGAGAGAUGUUGACUGACUCCAUGCUUGAUGACUUUACAAUCACAGAGAGAUGUUGACUGACUCCAUGCUUGAUGACUUUACAAUCACAGAGAGAUGUUGACUGACUCCAUGUUUGAUGACUUUACAAUCACAGAGAGAUGUUGACUGACUCCAUGCUUGAUGACUUUACAAUCACAGAGAGAUGUUGACUGACUCCAUGCUUGAUGACUUUACAAUCACAGAGAGAUGUUGACUGACUCCAUGUUUGAUGACUUUACAAUCACAGAGAGAUGUUGACUGACUCCAUGCUUGAUGACUUUACAAUCACAGAGAGAUGUUGACUGACUCCAUGCUUGAUGACUUUACAAUCACAGAGAGAUGUUGACUGACUCCAUGUUGGAUGACUUUACAAUCACAGAGAGCUGUUGACUGACUCCAUGCUUGAUGACUUUACAAUCACAGAGAGAUGUUGACUGACUCCAUGCUUGAUGACUUUACAAUCACAGAGAGAUGUUGACUGACUCCAUGUUUGAUGACUUUACAAUCACAGAGAGAUGUUGACUUCAGAUGUUUGAUGUCUUUCAACCACCAAAGUUGUGCUUCUUUGGACAACCGUUCUAAAACCAUGAAAGGGCUUUUUGGCUUCUUCUUCUUCUUCAGUGUCUGAUAAGAGAACAUUAUAGUGUUUCUAUGCAAAAGGAAACAUACUUUAUUUGACUGUGGAAAGAUCCAGUAUCGUCAAUACGAUUCCAAAGGACUUGACUUUGCAAUAAGACCAUGGAAGACUCUUCAGUCUGUGGAUGAUGUGUUUUACAAAUGGUUUUGAUAAAAUAAUACUCUGGAUUCAUGCAUGUGUUGUCUGUUUACCUUAAGCCAUGAAAUGGAGGAUGAACCUUGGAUAAGGCAGAGGCAUCUUUGAACAGUGAUACAAUUCAGAUAGUAGAAUCAGUGACCCCUGCUGGUUGGAAUAUGACAUUGCAGGAUGGUGAUGAAUCAACUGGAGGCUGGCUGGCUGCUGAAGGAUGGAUGAACACAAUGGACUCAACUUCCACAUUGUUCUGUUCAUAACUCAUCAGUCUUUGGUCUACGCACCACAAACACAUCAAGUAUCUACUAUUAAAUGUGGGCUGGGUUUUCACUGUUGGAAAUGGAUGGACUGUUUCAGGAAAAACCUUCAAGUCACGUAUCAUAAAUGCAAUCUAAGACUUACUAAACCAGUUGACUUAGUUGUCUUACUGCAAAACAAGAACCAUUACUGACCACCUACUUCUGUGUUGGACUACUAGGUGAAACAACCAUUCUGUUAGAAGGAACAACGUUGCAAUGUGAUGGACUACUAGGUGAAACAACCAUUCUGUUAGAAGGAACAACGUUGCAAUGUGAUGGACUACUAGGUGGAACAACCAUUCUGUUAGAAGGAACAACGUUACAAUGUGAUGGACUACUAGGUGAAACAGCCAUUCUGUUAGAAGGAACAACAUUACAAUGUGAUGGACUACUAGGUGGAACAGCCAUUCUGUUAGAAGGAACAACGUUACAAUGUGAUGGACUACUAGGUGGAACAGUCAUUCUGUUAGAAGGAACAACGUUACAAUGUGAUGGACUACUAGGUAGAACAGCCAUUCUGUUAGAAGGAACA